UACAGAGGGGGCAAGCGUUGUUCGGAAUUACUGGGCGUAAAGGGCGCGUAGGCGGCCUUCUAAGUCGAACGUGAAAUCCCCGGGCUCAACCCGGGAACUGCGUCCGAUACUGGAAGGCUUGAAUCCGGGAGAGGGAUGCGGAAUUCCGAGGUGUAGCGGUGAAAUGCGUAGAUAUCGGGAGGAACACCAGAGGCGAAGGCGGCGCCUGGAAGGUAACUGACACUGAGC
rnacentral:rRNA from 1 species